UGUUCCUGCAGCUAUUACUCAGGUGUUACUUCCACAGAUAUUAAUGUGUAUUUUGUUUAAAUACCAAGUGCCAAUGUCAAGCCCUAAGCCCUGUGUUGCUUGAGGAGUGGGAGGAAACCCAGGCAGUGUCUCGCAGGUUGGCAAGGACUGGGAUGCAGCCAGUGCAUUAAUCUAAACUAAGGAAUGCUGGUUAUGUUUUAACACUGUCCAAAUAUUAACACUGCCCAAAGGAUGUGGAGGUGUUUUCGUGACGUAUCAGCAUCCAGAAUGCCACCUUCCAUCACCAGAUGUGAGAUCUCUAAGACACCUCUUCCAAUGCAGAGCUUGGCCACAAACUAUCCAAAAGGCUGGGACCAAGCAGAAAGAAAAGCCUGUUGGCCCUGGAUGCCUUUAUGAGACUGUGUCUUUCUGAGGGCUUCCAUUGCGACUCAUCUAAAACCACGGCCACGCCAGCAUCCUCCGGCUCCAGGAGCAGGACAAAAGUUUAGAGAAAUCAGAUCCUGCUGUUCACAGAUGAAAGCAACCAGCCGGGAAACGGCACCUUCCGCUUUGUUCCAAAUGUACCAGAAGUUACUUGACCAUCAGGCACAAUAUUUAAAGGAUUAAAGCUCAACAAAUGCUCGUAAAUGUUUCCCUGGUAAUGCCAGCAAGUGCAAGCCACAGCUGGGACAGCAGGGCGCUCUGGAAGGAGCUGAGGAAGGAGCAGCCUGGAGCAGAGGAGCCACCAAAGGGCCCGACGCAGCUGCUGCUGCUGCUGCAUGCCUCCAAUCCAUCCUCCCCACGCUGCAUGAGGCUGCAGAACCACUGCCAGCGCCUGCUGCAGAAUGGGUGCUGCUGCCCACGCACCGGACACCGGACACCUGGGUGCUAUUAUUUUCCUGUGAACAUAAACAAAAGGAAGCAAAGAAAUGGGAGCCACAGCUGCUGGAUCAAAGGUAUGGUGCUCCCAGCACUUCAGAUGCUGGUGCGUGCCCCCGGAGCCUCCCCAGAUGGGCAGAAGCAGCACCCUGGGUGCUUCAGCCCCGCACAGUGCCUGCAGCAGCCCCUGCAGCAUCCAUCCCCUGCGCCCAGGAGCCACGGUCAGGCACUGGAGUGGGGUCUGCAUCCCAGUCAGCACUGCCGCCAGGUUGUUCAGCUGGGAAAAAGCCAACAGAGAACUGGAAAAGAAGAGAACGAGCCGAAAAACCCUGUAAAAAUAGCACCCUGACAGUAAUCUACAUAUCCUGGCACUGCAUUAACUGCAGCUGGAUGCAAAAUUCCAGUUAGUUUUGAAGUAUCAAAUAUAAAGUGAUGUGUGAUCCCUACUCAUAGCUCUCUGUGAGGAAUCCCGAUUCUGGCAAAACAUAUUUCAAACAGUUAAGAAAAAAAUGAGGUUGAAACACUUCAAUUAACUGCAACUAUCAUAUUUUCUCAAAUUUGUCUUGGAGCCUCCCUAGAUUUUCCUCCUUAAUCCCAAAAUGAAAUUCGAUUUAUUUCAUAUGUUCUUAGUGCCUGAACUAAUUAAUGUAUUUUCUUGUCCUUAAAAACAUACUCUUUUAUGAUAGCAAGCCCUGUAACUUAUUCAUAGUAAUUUUGAACCCAGUAACUACACAAAAUAAAGAGUUAGAAACAUUUGUUUGUCUGGGAAAGCAAGGAGCUCUACAGACGAUCACACAACCUCUUUUGAGCUGCUGCCCAAUUGCUAAUUACUUUUCUAUUGCAAGGGCAGCCCUGAAGGAGCAAAAACAGCAGAGAGCAAAAGAUAAAAUCGCUUCUCUGCUAGGCUGUGCUUUGACAAUGAUAAGACUGUGCAAGCUCCCAGCUACAGCUCAGCCAAAUAAACAUGUCAUCUGUCUGGGGAAAUGGAGUAACGCGGCCAGCGGGGGAAAAAAAAAGAAAAAAUAGGCCUCAGAAUGCUGCAUUUCAGUCAGUUACCGCAUGUGUCUAAUCAGUGUUUUCCUUGCACAAUACUAAAGGUUUGGUCUUUCUGUUGCUCACCCCUGAUUUAGUAGGCACGGUGGAGAAAGCCAGAAAGCCUGGUCACCUGGGUGCCUGCAGGGGAUGCCUCUGCCCUCCCAGCCUAAGGGAGCCGGCUGGACAAGCCUCAGACCGCCAGCACUCCCCAGCAACUGCAAGCCUACAACUCAUGUUUUGCUACAAGGUCUUGAACUGCACAGCAGUGGGGCUUGGUAUGUGUGUUUCCUAGACAAAGACCAGAGUCCAGCACCCUGCUGCAACCCCCAGCACAGAGCCCUUUGCCCGAGCAGCCUGCUGCAGCGGCUCGAGCACCUGUGCUGCUGUCCCCUGCCUGCGCCCACAUACUGCACAGGUGGCUGCCAAGUGUCCUCAGCAUCGCCCCAGAGAGCCACCAGCCCAGGCGAGCUGCGGAACCCUCUGCAGAGCACGGCAGUUCUGGAGCAAGUUCCCGUGUGGAGGAGCUGCCCUGGCCAUGUGCUGCUGCAUGCUCUGCCUGGCUUUGAGCAGCCACCCACCAGCCCUGCCACCAGCCCCAGCGCACAUUUGCCCUCCUGGGAAACGGAGGUGGCAGUAGAUUUUCCUGCGCUGACCUUUGCAUUCAUUUGUAAGGUUUUUUUUCCUUCCCUUCCCACAUGGGAGAGGUACUUCCUUCUUUUUCAUAAAACAAGGCAAGCACAGCUAGCUAAUGUCUUCACCAUCCGAGCUGUUUCACGUCAAAAAUAGAUGCAAGAAGUCAACAGGACUCCAACACCCAUGGAGUCACCAAAGGGACUGCCACAAUUUUUGCUGCUGCUUCAUGAGUAUUGCCUCAAAUAUGUUUGGGGUUUUUGGUAUUUUUGUUUUUCCACUUUUUAGGUUCUCAUUAUAAAUAUAUUGUCAAAGCAGUUUACACUAGAAAACGUGCUUUAUCUUUCUCAUCUCCCUCAUGCCCUGGUGCCAGGGGAUGUGGAUGGGUGCUCAGAGGAACAUCCCCCACCACCUCCUGCAUCAGCUUCUGCAUCCCCACCUGAAACCUGACCCCAAGGCUGUCCUGCUUCCUUUGCCCUGGGAUGCCUCCCCAAGCAGUUUCAUCAUCCACAAGGUACGUGGCACUGAAAAACUGGGUUUUUCUGAGGUGGGAGUGAAGGACCAUCCAUGAGGGGUGGGUACUGUGUGACCAUGGCCCCAGCUGUCUGGUCCCAGGCAGUGGCAAAGGACAUCCCAAACUGAACAGCCCUCGGCCAUUUUAUUGCAAGAAAUACCAGCAGCAUGAGCUGGCAAAACCACCUCUUGUAAUAAGAUGACUCAGAUUAAUUCUUAAAUGUAGCAAAAUAAAUCUCUUUAUCUCUUAGGAGUCAUUAAUAUGUGAGUUUUGUUUUGUUUGGGUUUAUGCAAUCAGGAAAUAUCCCUAACCCUGUAAUAUCCUACUUCAUCUGAUUUUUCAAAAUUAAUCUUCUUUUGUUUCUAAUUAGCUCUUGGCACAGUUUUUUUUAUAGUGGGGUUUCAGCCAAAAGAAGAUUUAUAGGGUUGGGCUGUGAAUUUCUGACAUGGCAAGAGGAAAGUUCCAGAGCAAGGAAAUAAAGCCAGUUGUCCCAAGGUGUCCCAGGGAAAUAAAGCCAUUUCUCCCAUGCCGUCCAGGUUGUGCCAUGUGGCACUGGGUCUGCCAGGUGGCAAAGCUGGGAGCACCAGCACGGAGAACAGCCCCACUGUUUGCAAACAUGUGACAGCAGCACUUUGGUAGCAGUUUCUUAGCUUGUCCCAUGGGACAACACCUCUUUCCCUGGGGUAAAUAAUUAAGAUACUGGUCUCAUCGUCACAGUUUGGCAGGAGUGGCAUUCCCCUUCCAGCCGGAGCUGCUGGGCCAGAACAACCCGCUGCUGAGCGGUCACAGGCUGCAGUGCUUUGUGAGUGGGACAGCGACAGAAACCCCAGGGGGUGACGUUCUGGUGAGGCUGGAAAUGCUCCGAGCCGUUCAUGCGGGUUAUUCGGUAAGCAGUGGCGUUUGGGGGCACAGGGGUCAGGGCAGAAACUGUCACCUGAGCUGCAGCUCUGCCAGGGGGAGCAGCACUCAGUGGCACCCGUGUCGCUGCCGUGCUCUGUAACACCGUGCGAGAUGGAGAUCUGUAAGGGGGGGCUCAGCGGGUGCCUUGGGGGUAGAUUUUCACUUGGCCACCCCCAGGUGCCGGGGCAGAAUCCGGCAGAUGCCAGCAGCAGAGCCCCGGCGCAUCCCAGGCUCUGAGCUGUGGAGGAAGGUUUAAAGCCUCAUUCAAACACAGACUCCGCAGCUGCUUGGGCUGCCUUCGGGGCUCACAGCCAUGCCAUCCCCAGGUCCCUGGUGGGAGGGGACACCGGCCCCGCGCCCCCCACCUCCCCCUGGCACAGCAGCUCCCCUCUCCGCUGCACAGGGGAUGGCUGGGGCAAUAGCUGAAUCGGCUGCUUGCUGGGUGAUGGCACCAGAAUCGUGGGGAGGAAAAGGCCAAAUAAGGCAGCAUUUUAGUGAAAAUGUGGCCUAAAAUGGGAGCUUGACUGAUGAUUAGCAAGCACAACAGCCAGAUAUGUUAUUACCAUGUUGAGAGCAUGACAGCCCUCACAGCCUCAGAAACUGGAAAAAAAUGUCCAGGACCCAGUGAGAUGAGAGAAAAAGCAGCUUAAUUCGGAGUGGGUUUCUCCACAAAAGCAGGCUGUGUCAGGAGGUCAGUAUGUGAGGAAUCUUGGUGCUAAGACAGAUGGACAGAUCAAUGCAGGGGAAAAUUUUUUUCCUGGGAAGAUACUGUUUUUUCAAGGGUUUCUUGAGUAUGCUUUUGGCUUUUCGAUGUAAAGCAAUGAAGCUGCUCUAGCAGAUAGAAGAAAUGUUAUUUUAAAGGUGCUAGAAGCAAAAGCACAAGGAGGAAGCUAAACUGAGAUGAGGAAGGGGGAAAGAGGAGCACACAGCUCCUUCCCCUAGACCGCAUGGUGCUGCCUGCAGCUCCCAGGGAUGGAGAGUACCUGGUAGGCUUUGGUGCAAGAACUUCAUCCCUCCUGGCAUAGAGGAAUUCAGAUUAUCCCAGUCUGCUCAGGGCCCUGAGACAGGAUGGAGCUGCGGAGGGGGGCUGCAGGGGAGAGUCCACGUAUGGUGCCCAGCCAAACCCACUGGGAAUCCAUCCCCCUCCUGUUUUAUGCAGUGCUGCACUGCCCUGCCACCAAGAGCAGGAGAGGAUGAGCUGAAAACAUGGUCGCUGCAACCAGUUUAUCAUAUUUAUUAGAUGAAAUUGCAUUUAGAGGCUGUUGUGUCAAAAGACUGAACUUGACUGAACUUGUUUUGUAAACCUGCAGGGGGCAGGGGGGCGGUGGGAGACCUUGGACUCACCUGCAGCAUUUUUGCUGCUUUGGUCGCAGAUGAGCCCUCCGCCAGGUUCCUCAGACACAUGCUGCAGUGACUGAAGUAACAGUGAGUUCAAGCAACCCUAGAGCUGUGCUCAGGCUGCAGCCUGCCUUUGUUACCCCAGGCAGCUGCACAGGCACACAGGGCAGGUGUGCUCAGGAGCACGCUGGAUGAAUUCCUGGGCAGCAAGCCCAUAAAGACAAAUUAAGGAACUAGCCAAAGCCCCUGAGCAUCCCUCGUUAUGGUGUGGGGGAACAUGAGGGGAGGAGAUGGCAGAAAAUGGCCACCCUUGGGCACUGGUCCUAAACAGCAUCUCUGAUGGUCCAGCCAGUCCAGGGGGCCUCUGCUCCCACCUAGCAGGGACUUACAAAGCUUUGCUUUUUUUAAAGCACAGGACAAGGGUUUCAGCAUCAUCAAGUUUCUUUCCUCGUUCCCAUGCAGUGCUGAUAAUAAACACAGUAGUGCAGUUAUUAAUAACAGUAAUGACCAGCCCUCCCUGCUGGUGAAGACAUUUGAGCACAGGCUGGCAGGCGGAACGAGCGUAGAACUCUGCUUCCCUUCACUCCAGCAGACGCAAGCCAUCGCCCCAGGAAUUUUAUAGUUUCCUGUGAAAGAGGUCCUGCUCAUUCAUCAGGCAUUGAAAAGUGUGGCUUGAGAGCCAAGAAUGUAUUUAUUUUUGAUCUAAAAAUAGUUAAAAUUCUAUUAAUAAAAUGCCAGGAAUGGCAGGACUGCCACCCCGAGUCUGUCACAGGGGGGAGGUGGCACCUGGCUUUAGGUGUCGGUCCCCUGUGCCCACAUGUGCCUUCAUCCAGGGUGCUCACCCUGUUGCCUGGGCAACACUUCAGCACUGGGACAGAAGCCCAGCAAGUGGGUGCAGGAG